GUCUAUUUGGAGGUAUAAAAAGUCUAACCUGCCCACUGAUUAGAAUAAAAUUUAAGGGCCGCAGUAUUGUGACUGUGCAAAGGUAGCAUAAUCAUUAGGUUUUUAAAUGAGAUCUUGUAUGAAUGGUUGAACAAAGGAGAAGCUGUCUUUAUAUUAAAAUUUGAAUUUUACUUUUAAGUGAGAAGGCUUAAAUGUUUUAGAGGGACGAUAAGACCCUAUAAAGCUUUAUAUUAAAAUUAUAUUAUAUUUAAUUUAAUAUUAUAAAAGUUUAAUAUAAUUGUUUAUUAUACUGGGGAGGUAUAGGUACAAGUGUUAUUAACUACUUUUAAAAAAAACAUAUAUUUAUGUAGUAGAAGAUCCUAGAUAUAGAUUUAAAGUUUAAGUUACUUUAGGGAUAACAGUAUUAUUUUUUUUAAGAGUUCAUAUCGAAAAAAGAGUUUGUAACCUCGAUGUUGAAUUAAAAUAUCUGUAUAAUGUAGCAGUUAUAUAAGAAGGUCUGUUCGACCUUUAAUUUUUUACAUGAUUUGAGUUCAGAUCGGCGUGAG
rnacentral:rRNA from 1 species